CUUUUUAAGCUUCUCUACCGACGAGAACCGUCCCCGAUCCCCACUCAAAUUACCAGAACACCUCUCUCUCUCUCCAAAAAUGGAGAAAACAUGGCCCUCUCGAACCAACGCCUCUCCCUUUACCUCCCUCCACCUAUCAUCAAAACCAAACACCACAACCACCCCCCGUCAAAAAUCCAAAAACACCUCCGAAUUCCCACCAAAAUCUCGAUUCCGUUCAACCCCUUCCUCUUCGUCCUCCUCCUCCUCGUCAUGUCCUUCCACGUCAUCAUCAUCGAACCUCCGCCGCGACUUCUCCGCCCUCCCCUACGACGUCCUCGCCCAAAUCGCCGCCAAUUUCACCCACCCCACCCUCCAAGCGGCGUCGCUCGUCUGCAGGGCAUGGGGGGACGCGCUGAAGCCGUUACGGGAAGCGAUGCUGUUUCUCCAGUGGGGGAAGCGGUUCAAGCACGGCAGGGGCGGCGUGAAGCGGAAUGUGGAGAAGGCGCUGGAGUCGUUCUUGAAAGGGGCGGCACGCGGGUCGACACUGGCGAUGGUGGAUGCGGGGUUGGUGUAUUGGGAGAUGGGGAGAAAGGAGGAGGCGAUGAGUUUGUAUGGGAGAGCGGCGGGGUUGGGUGAUCGGGCUGGGCAGUGCAAUUUGGGGAUUUCGUACCUGAGAGCUGAACCACCAAAUCCAAAGGAAGCUGUCAAAUGGUUAAAACAAGCUUCCAUUUCUGGUCAUAUCCGUGCACAGUACCAGCUCGCCCUAUGUUUGCAUCAAGGUCAUGGGGUGGAGCAAAAUCUACCACAAGCAGCAAGAUGGUAUCUGAAAGCUGCAGAAGGAGGCUAUGUGCGUGCUAUGUAUAAUACUUCAUUGUGCUACUCCUUUGGUGAAGGCCUGGUGCAGAAUCAUCGACAAGCGAGGAAAUGGAUGAAGCGGGCAGCUGAUCGGGGUCAUAGUAAAGCUCAGUUCGAGCAUGGACUCGGUCUCUUUUCUGGUUGAGGGAGUCUUUUGGAAUCUGAUGUUGGCAUUUUAAAGCAAAUACAUGGACAGGAGGGGGAGAAGAUGAAAGCUGUAGUAUACCUGGAGCUGGCCCACCGAGCGGGUGAAGCAGCUGCAGCUCAUGUCAAGAAUGUCAUACUCCAACAACUGUCUGCUACUUUGCGUGAUCGAGUUAUGUCCCUUGCUGAUAAUUGGCAUGCUCUGCCUUCAUCUCGCUGAGUCAUAUAAAUGAUAUGUAACUCAGGCUGGGAAUCAAGGCCUUAGCAAUUCCCACAGGAGGACAGCAAGUGAUGAUAUGGGUUGAUGGCCCCUUUGUCUUUACUAGUCUUCGGUCUCUUGAACCAUUCCAGCAGAGCUACAUCUGGAUGUUGGAAAAAAAUCAAUCUUUUCCACGACGGAGUGUUUCGAUGGGGACUACAAAAAAGCACUAAUACCUAUGUACAAAAGGGGGAAGGAUCUGUUUCCGGGUUUCUGUACUGUUGUCAUUUUCAUGGGUUCUGAAGAGCUUGGAUUGCUUGGCAGGGAAAAACAGCUAUUGUAUCCUAUGUACUUGUAAGAAAAUGGGUGAUUUGAGUGCCUUGGCAAGAUUUGCCUGGAAGAAUAGUAGUUUUGCAUUUCAGUGACUCUAAGCUAUUGCAAGCAUUCCUCAACUUGGCAAACUGUAAAUUAAUUAUCCAAUUUUCAGGUGAGGGUUUGGGAUGCCGGAUGAAGACUCUAGCGGUGUUUAGGAAAUUCUGUGUAAUGACCUCCUGAGGAAUCCAUGCAUGUUGUCAUUACUGUUGAGAUAAUUAUUGAACAGACAUUUUUGAUUGAAUAUUUGGAGCUAUUGUUGCAAUGUUUAAGAUUAUCAGA